UUUUACAGUGUUCUGAAAAGCCACUGCAGGAGCCCCUGGUCACUGACUCCCACUCCACCCUGUGGGCUUGAGCUCACAGAAGCAGUCUGCACUGGACCCGGGCUUCCUCGUUCACCCACAGCAACAGGUCCUCUCUGUCAUCAGCCUCUCUUUUGCUGGUGCCCAACUGCUUCUUGGGACUUCCCAUAACACAUCUCUCUCAAACCCCUCCCGCCACCCCAUCUACACUCCUGCAGCAGCUCCCUGGCUCAAUCCUCGCAAUCUGAGGGGGUACAGACAGCCUCAUCCCCCGGGUCAAGCUGCCAAUUACCUCAGCCAGGCGAGAUGAGCCAAAUACACUCUACAUACAGAACAAAAAAGUAUUAGCGGGAGACCACUGUCCCAACAAACGCAUCUUUUCAAACUGUCGGCAGGCAACAUAAUAGGCUGAGAUUUAGUGCCAACAGCAGGUCCUGCAUGGCUCACUCUUAUAAAUGCCCAGUUUUGAAAGUAGCCAGUUGGCCACCUCAGGAGUCAAUGAAGUGUAGUGAGGUGCAGUUUCAGGCCACUCAGGCUAUGUGUUGGUUCAUUUCCAUCAUACGGUACUUUCCAGCAAAAUGAAGUAAGAGCAGUCAAGAGACUAGAAACAUGCAAAGGUAAUAUGAUCUUUCCUGUCACACACU